UUUGCUCAUAGUCAUAGCUCUAAAACUUUUAGAUAUUAUAGUUUCAAUCAGAUGCUUGAAUUUUUUGAAUUUCUCUAACUUGUUUAUUCAUGUUAUACUAGACGACUUUGAUAGAGCCCACAUCUGGUAAUAUGGGGAUCAGCAUGGCAUUUAUGGCGGCCAUGAAAGGGUACAAGAUGAUUCUAACCAUGCCUUCUUAUACUAGUUUGGAGAGAAGGGUGACCAUGAGAGCUUUUGGAGCUGAGUUAAUUCUGACUGACCCCGCUAAGGGAAUGGGAGGAACAGUUAAGAAGGCUUAUGACCUUUUGGAAUCCACUCCAG
rnacentral:lncRNA from 1 species